CCUGGGAACUGCAUUCGAAACUGGCAGGCUAGAGUCUUGUAGAGGGGGGGAGAAUUCCAGGUGUAGCGGUGAAAUGCGUAGAGAUCUGGAGGAAUACCGGUGGCGAAGGCGGCCCCCUGGACAAAGACUGACGCUCAGGUGCGAAAGCGUGGGGAGCAAACAGGAUUAGAUACCCUGGUAGUCCACGCCGUAAACGAUGUCGAUUUGGAGGUUGUGCCCUUGAGGCGUGGCUUCCGGAGCUAACGCGUUAAAUCGACCGCCUGGGGAGUACGGCCGCAAGGUUAAAACUCAAAUGAAUUGACGGGGGCCCGCACAAGCGGUGGAGCAUGUGGUUUAAUUCGAUGCAACGCGAAGAACCUUACCUGGUCUUGACAUCCACAGAACUUUCCAGAGAUGGAUUGGUGCCUUCGGGAACUGUGA
rnacentral:rRNA from 1 species